rnacentral:rRNA from 1 species
AGCGAACGUUGGCGAUGCGUCUUAAGCAUGCAAGUCGAGCGGAUUUAUUUAGCUUGCUAUAUAAAUUAGCGGCGGACUGGUGAGUAACACGUAGGUAAUCUACCGUGAAGUGGGGGAUAACUCAUGGAAACAUGAACUAAUACCGCAUAUGCUCUUACUACAUAAGUAGUUUUAUAGAGGAAAGUUUUUUCGCUUCACGAUGAGCCUGCGGCCUAUUAGCUAGUUGGUAAGGUAAAAGCUUACCAAGGCAACGAUAGGUAGCCGACCUGAGAGGGUGACCGGCCACAUUGGGACUGAGAUACGGCCCAGACUCCUACGGGAGGCAGCAGCUGAGAAUCUUCCACAAUGGACGAAAGUCUGAUGGAGCGACAUCGCGUGAGGGAUGAAUGCCUUAGGGUUGUAAACCUCGGAAAUUAUCGAAGAAUGAGUGACAGUAGAUAAUGUAAGCCUCGGCUAACUACGUGCCAGCCGCCGCCGUAACAC